rnacentral:rRNA from 1 species
UAACGGCUCACCAAGGCUCCGAUGGGUAGCUGGUCUGAGAGGACGAUCAGCCACACUGGGACUGAGACACGGCCCAUACUCCUACGGGAGGCAGCAGUGGGGAAUCUUGCGCAAUGCGCGAAAGCGUGACGCAGCAACGCCGCGUGGGGGAAGAAGGCUUUCGGGUUGUAAACCCCUUUCAGUUGGGACGAAGCUUCAGCGGUGAAUAGCCGUUUGGUGUGACGGUACCUUCACAAGAAGCCCCGGCUAACUUCGUGCCAGCAGCCGCGGUAAUACGAAGGGGGCUAGCGUUGCUCGGAAUGACUGGGCGUAAAGGGCGCGUAGGCGGUUUGUACAGUCAGAUGUGAAAUUCCCGGGCUCAACCUGGGGCUGCAUUUGAUACGUGCAGACUUGAGUUCGGAAGAGGGUCGUGGAAUUCCCAGUGUAGAGGUGAAAUU